AGUAGUCACGUAGUUUGACUCCUGGCUACAGAACGAACGCUGGCGGCAUGCCUAACACAUGCAAGUCGAACGAGACCUUCGGGUCUAGUGGCGCACGGGUGCGUAACGCGUGGGAACCUGCCUUUAGGUUCGGAAUAACUCAGAGAAAUUUGAGCUAAUACCGGAUAAUGUCUUCGGACCAAAGAUUUAUCGCCUUUAGAUGGGCCCGCGUUGGAUUAGCUAGUUGGUGGGGUAAAGGCCUACCAAGGCGACGAUCCUUAGCUGGUCUGAGAGGAUGAUCAGCCACACUGGGACUGAGACACGGCCCAGACUCCUACGGGAGGCAGCAGUGGGGGAAUAUUGGACAAUGGGCGAAAGCCUGAUCCAGCAAUGCCGCGUGAGUGAUGAAGGCCUUCGGGUUGUAAAGCUCUUUUACUCGGGACGAUAAUGACGGUACCGAGAGAAUAAGCCCGGCUAACUCCGUG
rnacentral:rRNA from 1 species